GUACUUCCCAGACAGGAGAGAUAGUGUGAUCAUGAAAGUAAUUUUCCAAGGGUGAGGCUUAUUAAACUCAUUCCUGAUGUGCUACCCCAGCAAUUACCCCAAAUGCAGGAAACUCACCUGCAAAAUUUGUGGUAAUGGAGGAUAGAAUCCAUGCUCUUCUAUU
ensembl:snRNA U1 U1 spliceosomal RNA